UCCCUGGUAGCUCAGAUAGUAAAGUGUCUGCCUGUAAUGCAGAAGACACAGGUUCAAUCCCUGGGUCGGGAA
rfam:Ovis aries breed Texel chromosome 4, whole genome shotgun sequence.